UACGGGGUGGGCAAGCGUUGUUCGGAAUUACUGGGCGUAAAGGGCUCGUAGGUGGCCAACUAAGUCGGACGUGAAAUCCCUCAGCUUAACUGGGGAACUGCGUCCGAUACUGGAUGGCUUGAGUUUGGGAGAGGGAUGCGGAAUUCCAGGUGUAGCGGUGAAAUGCGUAGAUAUCUGGAGGAACACCGGUGGCGAAGGCGGCAUCCUGGACCAAAACUGACACUGAGGAGCGAAAGCCAGGGGAGCAAACGGG
rnacentral:rRNA from 1 species